GUCCGCGUGGCCCAAUGGAUAAGGCGUCUGACUUCGAAUCAGAAGAUUCAGGUUCGGGAGUCCUGUCUGUCGCGGACG